rnacentral:rRNA from 1 species
CCCGGCCCUUAGAUGUUCGGGGCCGCACGCGCGCUACACUGAAGGAAUCAGCACGUCUUUCUCCUUGUCCGAAAAGACUGGACAACUCGCUGAACUUCAAUCGUUCUGUAGGGAUUGGGGCUUGUAGUUAAUCUCCAUGAACCAGGAGUUACCAGUAAGCGCGAGUCAUAAGCUCGCGAAGAUUACGUCCCUCUCCUAUGAGAUUCUCGGAUUGGUCCCCGCUCGGCUUCUGGUUGUGCAUGUCGGAGUCCAGAAAGAAUGUCGAACCUAAUUAUCUAGAGGAGGUCGAAGUCUUAACA